rnacentral:rRNA from 1 species
GAAUAUUGGCCAAUGGGGGCAACCCUGAUCCAGCCAUGCCGCGUGUGUGAAGAAGGCCUUUUGGUUGUAAAGCACUUUAAGCAGUGAAGAAGACUCCAUGGUUAAUACCCAUGGAAGAUGCCCUUAGCUGCAGAAUACGCACCGGCCAAAGCUGUGCCAGCAGCCGCGGUAAUACAGAGGGUGCAAGCGUUAAUCGGAAUGACUGGGCGUAAAGCGAGCGUAGGUGGCUUGAUAAGUCAGAUGUGAAAUCCCCGGGCUUAACCUGGGAACUGCAUCUGAUACUGUUAGGCUAGAAUAGGUGAGAGGAAGGUAGAAUUCCAGGUGUAGCGGUGAAAUGCGUAGAGAUCUGUAGGAAUACAGAUGGCGAAGGCAGCCUUCUGGCAUCAUAUUGACACUGAGGUUCGAAAGCGUGGGUAGCAAACAGG